GUAGGUGGCAAGCGUUGUCCGGAAUUAUUGGGCGUAAAGCGCGCGCAGGUGGUUCUUUAAGUCUGAUGUGAAAGCCCCCGGCUCAACCGGGGAGGGUCAUUGGAAACUGGGGAACUUGAGUGCAGGAGAGGAAAGUGGAAUUCCACGUGUAGCGGUGAAAUGCGUAGAUAUGUGGAGGAACACCAGUGGCGAAGGCGACUUUCUGGCCUGUAACUGACACUGAGGCGCGAAAGCGUGGGGAGCAAACAGGGAUUAGAUACCCUGGUAGUCCACGCCGUAAACGAUGAGUGCUAAGUGUUGGGGGGGGUUUCCGCCCCCUCAGUGCUGCAGCUAACGCAUUAAGCACUCCGCCUGGGAGUACGGUCGCAAGACUG
rnacentral:rRNA from 1 species